CUACGGGCGGCUCCAGUGGGGAAUAUUGGGCAAUGGACGAAAGUCUGACCCAGCGACGCCGCGUGAGGGAAGAAGGUCUUCGGAUUGUAAACCUCUGUUGAUAGGGAAGAAGAAAGUGACGGUACCUAUCGAGGAAGCCACGGCUAACUACGUGCCAGCAGCCGCGGUAAUACGUAGGUGGCAAGCGUUAUCCGGAAUUACUGGGUGUAAAGGGUGUGUAGGCGGGACUGCAAGUCAGAUGUGAAAACUAUGAGCUUAACUCAUAGCCUGCAUUUGAAACUGUGGUUCUUGAGUGUCGGAGAGGUAAAUGGAAUUCCCAGUGUAGCGGUGAAAUGCGUAGAUAUUGGGAGGAACACCAGUGGCGAAGGCGAUUUACUGGACGACAACUGACGCUGAGACACGAAAGCGUGGGGAGCAAACAGGAUUAGAUACCCUUGUAGUC
rnacentral:rRNA from 1 species